rnacentral:rRNA from 1 species
UACGUAGGGGGCAAGCGUUGUCCGGAAUCAUUGGGCGUAAAGCGCGCGUAGGCGGCCCGGUAAGUCCGCUGUAAAAGUCCAGGGCUCAACCCUGGAAAGCCGGUGGAUACUGUCGGGCUCGAGUCCGGAAGAGGCGAGUGGAACUCCUGGUGUAGCGGUGGAAUGCGCAGAUAUCAGGAAGAACACCAACGGCGAAGGCAGCUCGCUAGGACGGUACUGACGCUGAGACGCGAAAGCGUGGGGAGCGAACAGG